AGCUCCAAUAGCGUAUAUUAAAGUUGUUGCAGUUAAAAAGCUCGUAGUUGAACUUCUGGCGGUCGUGUGCGCUGGCUUCGGUCGCGUACGGGGUCGUCAUCCGCUUGAAAACUGCGUUCGGCCUUCACUGGUCGGCGUAGGGAUCAAGCACUUUACUUUGAAAAAAUUAGAGUGUUCAAGGCAGGCAAUCGCCUGAAUACACAAGCAUGGAAUAAUGGAAUAGGACCGCGGUCCAUUUUGUUGGUUAUUGGACCGCAGUAAUGAUUAAUAGGGACAGUUGGGGGCAUUAGUAUUUAAUUGUCAGAGGUGAAAUUCUUGGAUUUAUUAAAGACGAACUAAUGCGAAAGCAUUUGCCAAGGAUGUUUUCA
rnacentral:rRNA from 1 species